rnacentral:rRNA from 1 species
GAUGAACGCUAGCGAUAGGCUUAACACAUGCAAGUCGAGGGGCAGCACAAGGUAGCUUGCUAUCUGGGUGGCGACCGGCGCACGGGUGCGUAACGCGUAUGCAACUUGCCCUAUACAGGAGGAUAACCCGUCGAAAGACGGACUAAUACUGCGUAUGCUCACAACUUGGCAUCAAGUGGUGAGGAAAGAAAUUCGGUAUAGGAUAGGCAUGCGUCCCAUUAGCUUGUUGGUGAGGUAACGGCUCACCAAGGCAACGAUGGGUAGGGGAACUGAGAGGUUUAUCCCCCACACUGGUACUGAGACACGGACCAGACUCCUACGGGAGGCAGCAGUGAGGAAUAUUGGUCAAUGGGCGCGAGCCUGAACCAGCCAAGUCGCGUGAAGGAUGACUGUCUUAUGGAUUGUAAACUUCUUGUAUACGGGAAUAACAAGAGUCACGGGUGACUCCCUGCAUGUACCGUAUGAAUAAGCAUCGGCUAACUCCGUG